rnacentral:rRNA from 1 species
UACGAAGGGGGCUAGCAGUUGUUCGGAAUCACUGGGCGUAAAGCGCACGUAGGCGGAUUGUUAAGUCGGGGGUGAAAUCCUGAGGCUCAACCUCAGAACUGCCUUCGAUACUGGCAAUCUCGAGUCCGGAAGAGGUUGGUGGAACAGCUAGUGUAGAGGUGAAAUUCGUAGAUAUUGGCUAGAACACCAGUGGCGAAGGCGGCCAACUGGUCCGGCACUGACGCUGAGGUGCGAAAGCGUGGGGAGCAACAGG